UGUACAGCGCGAAAUCUGAGAUAUCUUUUUAAAGACUGACGAAAGAGAGAAAAGAAGCAAAUGGACCGCUGCAAUUUGCUAAACAAAUGGAAUAUUCAAAAGUACCCGCUUGCUUGCUAGCCAUUUCAAGUCCGACCCAGCUGCAGGGAAAGAACGUAAUCGGUACACUGGAAGGAUUUUUCUACUGAACAAGGGAGCUGAUAGAGACAGACCCUGUGUAACACUUUUGUGGCUAUACGGAAAAGCUAGAAGACUCACAGGACAGGAACAGGUCUGUUCUUACAUAACUUCUCAUUUGUCGUAAGUUCCUUGUUGUUGUUCUGCCAAAUCUUAAUUAGCGAUUGGUCAGAAUCAUCCUUAAACUCCCAGAUUCUCGUGCAGAGCGGUAGGUAGUGUGCUGUUUUAAUUAAGGAGAGGUCAGAAGUAUUAACACGGCAGGUUCGGGCAGAGUGAUGCCGUGGUUGGCAGGGACUCGAUCCAGGAAGGGCGUGACUUCUACUUCCCACAGCAUAGCCAAGAUGGAGCUCUGCUUGUGAGAGACCUCGACAUCAAACGUUCCUGUGUCUUCCUGAGUGUCUGGGAUGGACAAGAGGAGAAAAAAUAACGAAAUGUGAAAAAAGUCCCACCAGGAUGCUGAAAGACAAGACCGGUCUGAUAUUAAAACUUCGAGGUGCGCUGAGGAGAAGCUCGGCUGGCAGGCCUCAACGCUGACUGACACCCUCCGACGAUAGCGAAAUCCAGCAGAUUAUACAAAACUGUCUUGGCAAGAGGAUGCAAAAAAUGUAACCUACAGACUGAUUCAAUAAAUGAGUCAGCAAAGCCGAGCGUUUUCCAUCUGAUAACGUCCGUCAUGGAGUCUCUGCGCAUGAUGUAAUUUCAUCAGGUUAAG